UGUUGUUAUUUUAUUUUGUUAUUUUGUUUUUCUUUUCUUUCUUUUUCUUUUUCUUUCUUUUCUUUCGUGUUUUUCCUUGCUGUUAUUUUCUUUUUGAUGUUUCUCUUUGAUGUUCUUUUCUAUAUCAUCCUUUUGUUGAUGUUCUUCGAUGGUCUGGGUGAGCCGCUUUCCUCCCAGAAGAGACCCACCCAGAAUUUUGGUGAUGUUACUUAGGGCCGAAAGAUGGAUGAUGUUUUUUUGUAUUUUUCUUUCCUUUAUGUUGUUCUUAUAUUGAUGUUACUUUUCUUUUUCGAUGUUUUUUCUUUUCUUUUUCUCUUUUUCAUUCUUUCUUGAUGUUCUUUUCUAUAUCAUCCCUUGUUGAUGUUCUUUGGUCUGGGUGAGCCUUUUUCUCCCCAGAAGAGACCCACCCAGAAUUUUAGUGAUGUUACUGAGGGCCGAAAGGUGGAUGAUGUUUCUUAUGUUUUUCUUUUCUUGAUGUCGUGGUUUUCUUGUUGUUCUUUUUAUUGAUGUUAUUUUUUUCGAUAUUUUUUUCUUUUCUAUCUCUUUUUCAUUCUUUCUUGAUGUUCAUUUCUCUAUCAUCCUUUUGUUGAUGUUCAUUGAUGGUCUGGGUGAGCCGCUUUCCUCCCAGAAGAGACCCACCCAUAAUUUUGGUGAUGUUACUGAGGGCCGAAAGGUGGAUGAUGUUUCUUUGUAUUUUUCUUUUCCUGAUGUUGUUCUUUUAUUGCAGUUACUUUUCUUUUUCGAUGUUUUUUCUUUUCUGUUAUUCUUUUUCAUUCUUUCUUGAUGUUCUUUUCUAUAUCAUCCCUUGUUGAUGUUCUUUGGUCUGGGUGAGCCUUUUUCUCCCCAGAAGAGACCCACCCAGAAUUUUGGUGAUGUUACUGAGGGCCGAAAGGUGGAUGAUGUUUCUUUGUACUUUUCUUGAUGUUCUUUUAUUGCUGUUACUUUUCUUUUUCGAUGUUAUUUCUGUUCGUUUUCUUUUCAGCAUUUCUCGGUGUUCUAUUCUAUAUCAUCCGUUUGUUGAUGUUCCUUGGUCUGGAUGAGCCUUUUUCUCCCCAGAAAAGACCCAUCCAUAAUUUUGUCAAUGUUAAUUAGGGCCUGAAGGUGGAUGAUCUGUGUUUGCUUUUUCUGGUGUUCUUUUUCCUUUUCCUUUUCUUUUGUGUUCCCAAAACGUGGAUUGUCUACGACAUCUAACGAGCACCACAAGCCCGGGUUUGUUGUUCGGAGUUUGCUCUCCUAGGUGAACUGCCUACCACGGCUAACGAGCUCCACCUGCCCGGGUUUGUUGUUCGGAGUUUGCUCUCCUAGGCGAAUUGCCUACCACAGCUAACGAGCUCCACCUGCCCGGGUUUGUUUAGAGUUUGCUCUCCUAGGUGAACUGCCUACCACGGCUAACGAGCUCCACCUGCCCGGGUUUGUUUAGAGUUUGCUCUCCUAGGCAGAUUGCCUACCACGGCUAACGAGCUCCACCUGCCCGGGUUUGUUUAGAGUUUGCUCUCCUAGGUGAACUGCCUACCACGGCUAACGAGCUCCACCUGCCCGGGUUUGUUGUUCGGAGUUUGCUCUCCUAGGUGAACUGCCUACCACGGCUAACGAGCUCCACCUGCCCGGGUUUGUUUAGAGUUUGCUCUCCUAGGUGAACUGCCUACCACGGCUAACGAGCUCCACCUGCCCGGGUUUAUUGUUCGGAGUUUGCUCUCCUAGGUGAACUGCCUACCACGGCUAACGAGCUCCACCUGCCCGGGUUUGUUGUUCGGAGUUUGCUCUCCUAGGUGAACUGCCUACCACGGCUAACGAGCUCCACCUGCCCGGGUUUGUUUAGAG